AAAAAUGAUGAUAAUAAAUUAAGCGCAACUAAAUUUUUUGUCAUACUACUAUGUAGAAUGCUGAUAAAGGAUGUCAUCCUUGAACUGAUUUUUUUUAU
rfam:Plasmodium chabaudi whole genome shotgun assembly, contig PC_RP3604